rnacentral:rRNA from 1 species
AACCUCCGCAAUGUGAGAAAUCGCGACGGGGGGAUCCCAAGUGCCAUUCUUAACGGGAUGGCUUUUCUUAAGUGUAAAAAGCUUUUGGAAUAAGAGCUGGGCAAGACCGGUGCCAGCCGCCGCGGUAACACCGGCAGCUCUAGUGGUAGCUGUUUUUAUUGGGCCUAAAGCGUUCGUAGCCGGUUUGAUAAGUCACUGGUGAAAUCCUGUAGCUUAACUGUGGGAAUUGCUGGUGAUACUGUUGAACUUGAGGUCGGGAGAGGUUAGCGGUACUCCCAGGGUAGAGGUGAAAUUCUGUAAUCCUGGGAGGACCACCUGUGGCGAAGGCGGCUAACUGGAACGAACCUGACGGUGAGGGACGAAAGCUAGGGGCGCGAACCGGAUUAGAUACCCGGGUAGUCCUGGCCGUAAACGAUGUGGACUUGGUGUUGGAAUGGCUUUGAGUUGUUCCGGUGCCGAAGGGAAGCUGUUAAGUCCACCGCCUGGGAAGUACGGUCGCAAGACUGAAACUUAAAGGAAUU